rnacentral:rRNA from 1 species
CCUACGGGUGACAGCAGUGGGGAAUAUUGGGCAAUGGAGGAAACUCUGACCCAGCAACGCCGCGUGAAUGAUGAAGGUCUUCGGAUUGUAAAGUUCUUUUCUAAGGGAAGAAGAAAGUGACGGUACCUUAGGAAUAAGCCUCGGCUAACUACGUGCCAGCAGUCGCGGUAAUACGUCGGAGGCGAUCGUUAUCCGGAAUGACUGGGGGUAAAGGGUGCGUAGGUGGUUUGGCAAGUUAGUAGCGUAACUCCAAGGCUCAACCUUGGAACUACUACUAAAACUGUUGGACUUGAGUGCAGGAGGGGCAGCCGGAAUUCCUGGUGUAGCGGUGAAAUGCGUAGAUAUUAGGAAGAACACCGCUGGCGAAGGCAGGUUGCUAGACUGUCACUGACACUGAGGCACGAAAGCGUGGGGAGCAAACAGGAUUAGAUACCCUUGUAGUC